GACGAACCGUGCGAACGUUGUUCGGAAUCACUGGGCUUAAAGGGCGCGUAGGCGGGCUGCCAAGUCUGGGGUGAAAUCCCACGGCUCAACCGUGGAACUGCCUCAGAUACUGGCGGCCUCGAGGAGGGUAGGGGCAUGCGGAACUAUGCGUGGAGCGGUGAAAUGCGUUGAUAUGCAUAGGAACUCCGGUGGCGAAGGCGGCGUGCUGGACCCUUUCUGACGCUGAGGCGCGAAAGCCAGGGGAGCAAACGGG
rnacentral:rRNA from 1 species